GGUAUGCUGGUUCUAAAGCUAACUGAGCUGACCCUGAACUGAAUCAAACUGCCAAAAAUGUACCGUGAUGUUGUCAUCAGGGCCGCCUGUCCUCGUGGAGCCCCCUCAUACCUUCACCUCAGCCUACAAUCCUUUUUAAUUCAACCUCCACCCUUCGAGGACUGAUUGAUACCAACACCCAGGCCUACAGUAUGAACAGAGUGUGUAAGCCUGAGUGACAGAGCUGGUGUUGGAAGUGAAUCCAGAGCCGGAAACAAACUUCACCCUCCUGUAGACCUGACAGACAAGUGUGGCGUCAGACCCCCAGAGACCCCUCAUGGUUGAACAUGCUCUGUUCAGCAGUGUCCUUGGAUUCGUCGAAUUUGUCUAGUGCUUGUUUGAGCUCGUCGUCUGUCAGCUUGCC